UGGUGUUGGAGGUGGGCGUGAUUGUUGUGGGGGGCAGGGGUUGGAGGCGUGUUGAGGUUGGUGGGUUUGGGAGGAUGUGGUGGGCGAAGUGGAGGGCUGGAGUAUGUGGAUGGUGAGAGGGGUGAAGUUGGCUUUGUUAUGGGCGAUCCUUGGAGAAGUGCGGUGGUGCAGGGAAGGAAAGGAAGGCUGAGAAGCGAUUGAAAGCGGAGAGGAGUGGGGCGGUGGAUGAGGUGGUGAAUUGUAGUCAUGCGCAUUUAGAGGUGAGGGCAGGCUGAGCGUGUGACUAGGGGAAACGGGAGCGCAUUGCGCGUAACGACGACGCGAGGCAUGAGCAGCGGGGUUGGAUUUGAGCAUGCAUCGGGUGACGGCGUGGUGAAGGUCGCCGAGUCAUAGGGGAACGACAGUGGGUGUGUGGAUGGUGAUAAAAUGAGGGAGAGGGUUGGGCAAGGAGUGGGGGAAUAGGUGGGGAUAGCUAUUUUUGGGUGGAAUGUGUAAGAUAUGGAGUUGAAGGUAGGGUUGUGAGAAGGGUGUACGGGAGUUCUGGGCGAGCUGCGUGCACAUGGAGGUCAGACGGAACAGGUGCGGAUGUGUUAUUGCGGGCCUCUGCUUUGUUCGGGUUACCGAGAUGCAUCGGGCGUAGAUUUUUAUUCAGAGGAGUACAGGCGGCACGUGCAAGUCUUAUGGCUGCGAGGAAAUUGAGCAGGAUUUUGGCACGGGGGACGCGAUUUAAUGUGGAGUGCAGCUCACCGGAAGUUAAAUGAAGACCGUUGAUAUGGAGGUUUGAUUGAGAAGAUUCAAUCAGAUUUUGUUCUCUGUUUUAUGGGUCAGCUUGAUUGACUUCUGUAGUUAGUGAUUGCUUCUCGGUUUCGUAGUUUUGCCUGGUUUUGUUUCCAUGGGGUGAAUCUGCUGUGCUCAGGGUCUUGGUUUAUUUGAUCUCUAGUGCGAUGACCCCUUCUCACUGCUCCACCAGUAGUUCCUAUUCGAUCGCCUCCUAUCUUGGUAAAGAUAUUUUUGAUUUGUGUUACGAUUUUCUUUUCGACAUUGUGCAGUGAGCCCCUCAGCGCUAUUAUAGAGCUCAAGAAAUGGGGGCAGAUUUUUGUAAUUUGAAUAUUUUAUUCCUCUGAAUAUGGUUCUGAGUUGCGUGAUGUCUUUUGCAUUUCGCGUAGUCUUUCUGAUGAAUUUAGCUGUCACACCUUGGUUGUGUCGAUCUACGAGUAGAUUAAUGUUAAAUUUAUCAACUUAGUGUUCAACGGAAAUUUUCCCGCUUAACUAAUAGGCUUUUGAAGUGAAAUACAUGGCCUUUCGCUUUUGAUUUUCUUUGUUUCCGCUGUUACCCUUGCACCUAGUGUUUCGGUCUUCCAGCUUGUUUACAUUUGUUGAUGUUUUGCAUUGGUUGGGUUUUGGGUUGUGGUUUGACGUGCUUGGAUAUGAUUUUGUUCUUUGAAAUAGACAGUUUGAAUUUCUGCGAAUUCUUUUGUAUGGUAUUUCUGAGCGCAACUUGUGUAUUAUUUGGCAUUUGUCCAAGGUCAGGAUGGUUUUUUUGUUCGUUUUCAUAUUUAUGAAAUAAAUCUUCAUGAUAGCUGUCUUUUUCUAAUAUACAUUUCUUCUAACUAAUUAUUCAAAAGAUAUUCGUUUUCAUUAAUCGACUAAUACAUGGUUUUUUUAAACUUAUUGUUUAAUUUUUUCAAUGAUGUUUGAACUUUAUGACUGAUUGAUUGAUGUAGAUGAGUUUUGUCACAGAACUUGAGAAAAUUUGAUUUCUGCACACGUUUUAUCUGAACAUGGGGUGGAGCAAGUUCAACACAUUUUGCUAGUCUGUAAUAUUUAUUCAUUUUAUUUAUUUCUUAAAUUGCAAUUCUUAAAUGCAGGCAAGCUUGCAUUUAAAGCUCAAUAAUUACUUGUUACUAUCUCAGAUUAGAUUGUAGAUGUUUUAAUUGUUCUGUAUUAGAAGGGCAAUUAGGUAGGACAAUGUCCUACCUGUCAACGAAAUGUCCUACAUUAAAUGGGCUUGGUUAUAUUAAAGUUGUCUGUUCUAAUUUCUAAGGCUUAGGAUAAAAUUAGAUCAUAGUGAAGAUUACAAAUUUGGAUUUAGAUUAAUACAUCUUAACUUUGGUAGGUCAAUGUGCUAUUUUCAAAUAAUUUGUAAGUUAAUAAAUAGAUAGUAAGGAUCCUACUAAAGGAGUACGUUUUAAACUUCAUAAAAUAAAGAAGCGAAUUUCAAGUUUUUAUAAAAAAAACUGAUAUUUUAUUUAUUUAUUUAUUUUUUAUCUAAACUACAUCCAUUAAAUUUUUUUGUUUAUAUUUAUAUUUUUUGUUAGCAAUUAGAGACCAUUUAAAAUUUAGCUUCUAUUUAUAUAGCAUAUUUUGUUAGGUACCAUUAAUCUAUACUUCACA
rnacentral:lncRNA from 1 species